GGUUAAGCGACUAAGCGUACACGGUGGAUGCCCUGGCAGUCAGAGGCGAUGAAGGACGUGCUAAUCUGCGAUAAGCGUCGGUAAGGUGAUAUGAACCGUUAUAACCGGCGAUUUCCGAAUGGGGAAACCCAGUGUGUUUCGACACACUAUCAUUAACUGAAUCCAUAGGUUAAUGAGGCGAACCGGGGGAACUGAAACAUCUAAGUACCCCGAGGAAAAGAAAUCAACCGAGAUUCCCCCAGUAGCGGCGAGCGAACGGGGAGGAGCCCAGAGCCUGAAUCAGUGUGUGUGUUAGUGGAAGCGUCUGGAAAGGCGCGCGAUACAGGGUGACAGCCCCGUACACAAAAAUGCACAUGCUGUGAGCUCGAUGAGUAGGGCGGGACACGUGGUAUCCUGUCUGAAUAUGGGGGGACCAUCCUCCAAGGCUAAAUACUCCUGACUGACCGAUAGUGAACCAGUACCGUGAGGGAAAGGCGAAAAGAACCCCGGCGAGGGGAGUGAAAAAGAACCUGAAACCGUGUACGUACAAGCAGUGGGAGCACAGAGCAAUCUGUGUGACUGCGUACCUUUUGUAUAAUGGGUCAGCGACUUAUAUUCUGUAGCAAGGUUAACCGAAUAGGGGAGCCGAAGGGAAACCGAGUCUUAACUGGGCGUUAAGUUGCAGGGUAUAGACCCGAAACCCGGUGAUCUAGCCAUGGGCAGGUUGAAGGUUGGGUAACACUAACUGGAGGACCGAACCGACUAAUGUUGAAAAAUUAGCGGAUGACUUGUGGCUGGGGGUGAAAGGCCAAUCAAACCGGGAGAUAGCUGGUUCUCCCCGAAAGCUAUUUAGGUAGCGCCUCGUGAAUUCAUCUCCGGGGGUAGAGCACUGUUUCGGCAAGGGGGUCAUCCCGACUUACCAACCCGAUGCAAACUGCGAAUACCGGAGAAUGUUAUCACGGGAGACACACGGCGGGUGCUAACGUCCGUCGUGAAGAGGGAAACAACCCAGACCGCCAGCUAAGGUCCCAAAGUCAUGGUUAAGUGGGAAACGAUGUGGGAAGGCCCAGACAGCCAGGAUGUUGGCUUAGAAGCAGCCAUCAUUUAAAGAAAGCGUAAUAGCUCACUGGUCGAGUCGGCCUGCGCGGAAGAUGUAACGGGGCUAAACCAUGCACCGAAGCUGCGGCAGCGACACUGUGUGUUGUUGGGUAGGGGAGCGUUCUGUAAGCCUGUGAAGGUGUGCUGUGAGGCAUGCUGGAGGUAUCAGAAGUGCGAAUGCUGACAUAAGUAACGAUAAAGCGGGUGAAAAGCCCGCUCGCCGGAAGACCAAGGGUUCCUGUCCAACGUUAAUCGGGGCAGGGUGAGUCGACCCCUAAGGCGAGGCCGAAAGGCGUAGUCGAUGGGAAACAGGUUAAUAUUCCUGUACUUGGUGUUACUGCGAAGGGGGGACGGAGAAGGCUAUGUUGGCCGGGCGACGGUUGUCCCGGUUUAAGCGUGUAGGCUGGUUUUCCAGGCAAAUCCGGAAAAUCAAGGCUGAGGCGUGAUGACGAGGCACUACGGUGCUGAAGCAACAAAUGCCCUGCUUCCAGGAAAAGCCUCUAAGCAUCAGGUAACAUCAAAUCGUACCCCAAACCGACACAGGUGGUCAGGUAGAGAAUACCAAGGCGCUUGAGAGAACUCGGGUGAAGGAACUAGGCAAAAUGGUGCCGUAACUUCGGGAGAAGGCACGCUGAUAUGUAGGUGAAGUCCCUCGCGGAUGGAGCUGAAAUCAGUCGAAGAUACCAGCUGGCUGCAACUGUUUAUUAAAAACACAGCACUGUGCAAACACGAAAGUGGACGUAUACGGUGUGACGCCUGCCCGGUGCCGGAAGGUUAAUUGAUGGGGUCAGCGCAAGCGAAGCUCUUGAUCGAAGCCCCGGUAAACGGCGGCCGUAACUAUAACGGUCCUAAGGUAGCGAAAUUCCUUGUCGGGUAAGUUCCGACCUGCACGAAUGGCGUAAUGAUGGCCAGGCUGUCUCCACCCGAGACUCAGUGAAAUUGAACUCGCUGUGAAGAUGCAGUGUACCCGCGGCAAGACGGAAAGACCCCGUGAACCUUUACUAUAGCUUGACACUGAACAUUGAGCCUUGAUGUGUAGGAUAGGUGGGAGGCUUUGAAGUGUGGACGCCAGUCUGCAUGGAGCCGACCUUGAAAUACCACCCUUUAAUGUUUGAUGUUCUAACGUGGACCCGUGAUCCGGGUUGCGGACAGUGUCUGGUGGGUAGUUUGACUGGGGCGGUCUCCUCCUAAAGAGUAACGGAGGAGCACGAAGGUUGGCUAAUCCCGGUCGGACAUCAGGAGGUUAGUGCAAUGGCAUAAGCCAGCUUGACUGCGAGCGUGACGGCGCGAGCAGGUGCGAAAGCAGGUCAUAGUGAUCCGGUGGUUCUGAAUGGAAGGGCCAUCGCUCAACGGAUAAAAGGUACUCCGGGGAUAACAGGCUGAUACCGCCCAAGAGUUCAUAUCGACGGCGGUGUUUGGCACCUCGAUGUCGGCUCAUCACAUCCUGGGGCUGAAGUAGGUCCCAAGGGUAUGGCUGUUCGCCAUUUAAAGUGGUACGCGAGCUGGGUUUAGAACGUCGUGAGACAGUUCGGUCCCUAUCUGCCGUGGGCGCUGGAGAACUGAGGGGGGCUGCUCCUAGUACGAGAGGACCGGAGUGGACGCAUCACUGGUGUUCGGGUUGUCAUGCCAAUGGCACUGCCCGGUAGCUAAAUGCGGAAGAGAUAAGUGCUGAAAGCAUCUAAGCACGAAACUUGCCCCGAGAUGAGUUCUCCCUGACCCUUUAAGGGUCCUGAAGGAACGUUGAAGACGACGACGUUGAUAGGCCGGGUGUGUAAGCGCAGCGAUGCGUUGAGCUAACCGGUACUAAUGAACCGUGAGGCUUAACCUU
rnacentral:rRNA from 1 species